AGUGAACGCUGGCGGUAGACCUAACACAUGCAAGUCGAACGGCAGCACAGUAAGAGCUUGCUCUUACGGGUGGCGAGUGGCGGACGGGUGAGGAAUACAUCGGAAUCUACUUUUUCGUGGGGGAUAACGUAGGGAAACUUACGCUAAUACCGCAUACGACCUACGGGUGAAAGCAGGGGAUCUUCGGACCUUGCGCGAUUGAAUGAGCCGAUGUCGGAUUAGCUAGUUGGCGGGGUAAAGGCCCACCAAGGCGACGAUCCGUAGCUGGUCUGAGAGGAUGAUAAGCCACACUGGACCUGAGACACGGUCCAGACUCCUACGGGAGGCAGCAGUGGAGAAUAUUGGACAAUGAGCGCAAGCCUGAUCCAGACCUACCGCGUGGGUGAAGAAGGCCUUCGGGUUGUAAAACCCUUUUGUUGGGAAAGAAAAGCAGCGGAUUAAUACCCCGCUGUUCUGACGGUGCCCAAAGAAUAAGCACCGGCUAACUUCGUG
rnacentral:rRNA from 1 species